GUUAGAGAGGGCUGCAGCAAUGCUUCCUGUGAUAAUGAUAAACAUCAGGUUCAUUUAGCACCACGAUUCGGAAUUUGUGUCACCAGCUGCAAAUAUUUUUUUGUGCCCCUAAACAGUAGCAUUUAUUGAAAGCACGAUGUAAGCAGUGCUCAUUAUAAUCGUGCAAUCUUUCUAACGGGUGGAGCUAGCAGUUGCAGCAGCGUGUGGGCGGAGCCUGCUACUCACAAUGCUGCGGGUUAAGAGGUGUGUAUACCACACAGACAUAUUUACAGAAGUUACAACUACACACAUCCCAUUUACAAAAAGCCCAGGUCCAGGCUGUGUGCAACAUUUAUCCUGCAUUGUUCAAAAGCCUACUCAAGUGGGAGUGCUGUUAAGAUAAGUUAAAAGCUACAGAUAGUGGAGAGGAGAGGAGAGCAGUAAUAAUUAUUUUUGUCAUUCUAAAAGACUGUGUGGAUAUAAAUGUCAGAAUCAGAUAUUACUGACAUUUUAGAUUUAUUUCCAGGAAGGUUUUAUCCAGUUAUCCAGAGUUAACUGUCUUGAAAUAUGUUCAGUUAACUAGCAGAUACUGUAACUACUUUAUUUUUAAAACAGGUUUUUUUCCAUUACUGAGUCAAAUGUUGCAGUCUCCAAUUAAAUUAUCACAACUUAAUGAAUUGUUAUUACACAUGAUAUUCAUUCUGGAGUUGUAUGCAUUUGACAGAAAAGAGACAGAGAAUGAGAGAAAAUAGCAUAAUCUGAUAUCUUUCAUCUGGAAAAAGGCAGUUAUCUGAUUAUGAGAAACCUGAUAAACUUAGAUGUUUGCCUGAUAAUUAGUUUAUUCAUUGCAUGUGUACAUGUUAAUUUGAUUUCAAUCAUUUUGUGUUAAAUGUAGACAUGUGCAGGUGGACUCAGCCAGUGCUAAGAAAGGUCUUCUGCCUGCCUGUUGGAGAGAUAGAGAGACUGAAGCCUCAAAUUGCGCUAUGAAAUGGGAUUUUCGGCCCUGCACACACGCUUAGACACACGCACAGCCACUGGAGAGAACUGCUAUUGCAGCGGUGGACCGAUCAAUAAUGCGCCGAUGGACGGCCAUUUAUGUCUGUAUGUCUGUCUGUCUGUCUGUCUGUCUGUAUGUAUGUAUGUAUGUGUGUAUGUAUUUAUUUAUUUAUUUAUUUGCUGCACCUAGCUGUUUCUCUGUCGAUGCAGUCAAGAACGUGAGAGAUUGGUGAAAAAAUCAAACUGAGCUUCAGCGUCUGUCCGAGGAGGACAGCAGCAGGGCCAGGCUGCCUGGUGGAGGGAGGAAGAAGGCCAGCGAGGAGCUUGAGAUUAACAUGCAGGUUUGGGUUAUCAGCAAGCGGGCACACCGCGAGAGAGUGUCCCGUAAAAUGAUCAGGGCGAUGGAGAAACAAAUGCGCGCCACAGUGAGAGACAGCAGAGAUGAGGAGCUGGCAGCGAGUGCUGGUCGGCUGAAUCGUUUCCUCCGCUGCAACAACUUCACUUGCAGAAGACAAAUAUUUCCCAGAAGGAUGCCAGAGAAUUCACCGAGAAGCUGGAGAAGUUUGUGACAUUUUCAUCCCAGAUUUUUUGAGGGGAAGGAAUUUAACGCCUGUCCCAAAUUGCCGCCUGGUCUGUUGAGUGAUUGAAACAAAUAAACCGGGCCCCUGGGGGCCGGGCCCCUGCACCGGGCCCCUGACGGCGUCUGGGCCCCGGUGCAGCUGUACUGGUUGCACUGCCGAUACUUACACCACUGGUUUCCACCGUCACGCCCACCAGGUGUGACGUAGCGGAAAGAUUUCGCAGCCCCAUUGCUUGAUUAUUGUUUAUGGAGGUGUCAGCUGUCUGUAUUUGGGACAGUACAGGCAGGGGGUGAAUAUCACUGUCUUCUCCCAACGUGUGGUGUGUGAUUAUGACUGUAUAUUUGUCAAUGUGUCCAGGUGUUGAUACUUCAAAUAUGUGAAGUUCUGUAUCGGUGGGAACAAGGAAGUUGUUUGUAAUGCGGUGUGUUGCCCCUGCCAGUAUUAAGCACUUUAAGGUGAAGUCAGAACAACUUCCUGCAAUCCACAGAAAUCCAGAAAGGACUACAAGUGAACGAUUCCUACAUUUUGUAAUCAGUUAUGUUGUGACAAUUGAUUCUGCACUGUUACGUUGUGUGAAGUGUUACGGCCUUCUCUUUUCCUUUGUAUGGAACUGAUGUGGUUGGAGACAGUGGUAUAUUUGUCGUUGUAUAAUUAUGUUUACAUGGCAUUGCAAAUAAAAAGUCACAAUAUCUGUAUUUCUUUUUGACAAAGACAGUAAAUGUUUUUAUAGUAUGUGACGCAUUAUAUUUUGCCAUUGUAUUCUGGACAAAACAUCUAAAAUAGCUGUGAAAGAGUACAUAUUGAAUGACAGUUUUUGAAAGUGUUUGAGUCACUGGGGGUUUUGAGGUUAUUUGUCAAUUUAUUCAAAAUUAAGAAUUUAUGGCUGCAUGAAGGACAAUCUGGGAGAAGCUGUGAUGACAGAUGAAGGUAUGUGUAACAUUAAAGUAAAACUAACAAGU